AUGGGAUCAUUUCUGCUUUGGGACACACGUUCAGCCCUCCUCCUCCAUCCAGCUGAAGCACCACGUCCCACAGGAAACAUUCCAGCUCAUCCAGGUGACGAUAGAGGAGCUAAAAGAUCCAGCUGGACCUUCAAAACACCAGAAUCUAUCCAUGAGGUGUGGGCGUGCCAGCAGCUGAAUCUGGGCUGCAUUCAGGAUCAUGGUGGUUCAGGUUACCAUCAUCAACGGCGUAGACGUCCAUCAGAGGCCUUGGUGGAAGCAGCAGCCACACGUGAUUCCAGGUAGAAAACUCUGGCGUGCACAGAAGCAGCUCAUGAAAUGUUUUUAAAGGGAUGUUUCUGCAUCACCACACAGGACCACACUGCGCUGCACGUCCACCUGAUGAGCGGCGUUGCUCGAUGGAACUCCGACAGGACUACAGAUGGCGUGUUUGGAGGCAGAGGGCGGAGUCACUGGACCGACUCUCCUCCACUGAUCAAAGGCUGUCAGCAGCUGUUUGGAGUAGAACUUCCAGACUCCUGCUGAUGUGGCCUCAGACCAGCUGCUGGGUCUGGACGGUUCAGCUCAGGGGACUCUUCACUUGUUCUCUUCAGGUUUUCAAAUAGCAGAAAUAUUUAUGUCAACUUCAAACUUUAGAAAUAAAACGUUUACAUUUGUUGGGUUUCAGGACGACAGAUUCCUCCAGAUUACAGAUUCCUGAUGUUUAUGUUGGGAUGUUUUGGACCGACUGUUUCUAGAUUUUUCUUUCUGGAGUCAAAAGGCGCCAAACCGUUCAGACACAAACGUCUUUGUGUCGCCGCUACGUCGCAACACUAACAGGAAGUUCAGACUCUUGAUUGAAGGGGAGACGUCACGAACAUAUCCCAAAAUUCUGGCUUUUCUGCUGCUUCUCUGAGUAAAUUUCUCCUGUCAGGAUCUGUAGAGUCGAAGCUGGUAUUUGUGGAGACCUUCUGACCGAGCAGAUCUUCUCAGCGCCGCCGUCUGCCGUUUGUGCAACGAUAAAAGCUGAUUGAACUCCGGAGGUUUGAUCUGAAAUCAUUGAUUUGAAUGAAUGACUGGAUGUUUCUCUUCCAUCAGUCAUGCUCAGUUUCUCCUGUUAAGUUUUGAAGGUUUUUCUUCUCACCAACAUCCAUCCAUUGAAUGAAUCCAUGAAAACAGGAGAACUUUGCAGCAAAAACAGCUGAUGGUGUUUGUCUUCAGGGAAUCUGGAUUUUCCUGCUGCCUCUUUGAGCUCACACCGAGGGUAUUUUUGAUACAUUUAUUUAUCAUUAUUAUUCAUUUUAUGUAUCUUAUGUACUGUGAGGAAAUCCUUGAGUGCCAAGAAAGGCGCCAUAUAAAUAAAAUGUAUUAUUAUUUAAACUGCAGCAACAAUUCGUUUGGGGUACACCAGCGUUUGUCCACCACCAGCAGGAAUUACAGAUUUUCUCCUUAAUCUGAAACUAUCUGCUCCUUAAAUGUCUCCCACUGAGAUCUGUUGAUCCAUUGUACAAGUAUUUCCAGUUAGUAAAAUGUCAUUAAAGACCCACUCCAAUAAA
rnacentral:lncRNA from 1 species